rnacentral:rRNA from 1 species
GACGAACGCUGGCGGCGUGCCUAAUACAUGCAAGUCGAGCGGACGGAUGGGAGCUUGCUCCCAGACCGUCAGCGGCGGACGGGUGAGUAACACGUGGGCAACCUGCCUGUAAGACUGGGAUAACUCCGGGAAACCGGGGCUAAUACCGGAUAACUCUUUCCCUCACAUGAGGGAAAGCUGAAAGAUGGCAUCUCGCUAUCACUUACAGAUGGGCCCGCGGCGCAUUAGCUAGUUGGUGAGGUAACGGCUCACCAAGGCGACGAUGCGUAGCCGACCUGAGAGGGUGAUCGGCCACACUGGGACUGAGACACGGCCCAGACUCCUACGGGAGGCAGCAGUAGGGAAUCUUCCGCAAUGGACGAAAGUCUGACGGAGCAACGCCGCGUGAGUGAUGAAGGUAUUCGGAUCGUAAAACUCUGUUGUCAGGGAAGAACAAGUACCGGAGUAACUGCCGGUACCUUGACGGUACCUGACCAGAAAGCCACGGCUAACUACGUG